rnacentral:lncRNA from 1 species
AUGGUGUGAAUUGGAGUUUCUUCCCGUGAUGUCAGACUUGUGUUGACAAGCCACUGUGAAGCCGCCCCCUCGAUACCAAAACCGAAAUUGCUGUUUUGUGGUAGGGGUAUUACAAAUAUAUUCAACGCAUUCCCAAGCACUACGACACUCUUUUUAGGGUUCUCGACACCAGUGUUUUUAUUUAGAGCAACAACCCGAAAAUAUUUUAA